AACUUUCGACAAUGGAUCUCUUGGUUCUGGCAUCGAUGAAGAACGCAGCGAAAUGAGAUAAGUAAUGUGAAUUGCAGAAUUCAGUGAAUCAUCGAAUCUUUGAACGCACUUUGCGCCCGCCAGUAUUCUGGCGGGCAUGCGUGUCCGAGCGUCAGUUGAACCCUCGAACCCCUCCGGGGGGCCGGCUUUGGGGACCGGCACUUAACCGGCCGGCCCCGAAAUACAGUGGCCGCCCCGCCGCAGCCUCUCAUGCGCAGUAGUUUGCACACUCGCACCGGGAGCGCGGCGCGGCCACAGCCGUAAAACAAACCAAACCCUGAAAUGUUGACCUCGGAUCAGGUAGGAAUACCCGCUGAACUUAAGCAUAUCAAUAAGCGGAGGAU
rnacentral:misc_RNA from 1 species